rnacentral:rRNA from 1 species
GUAGGCAUCUACCGGUUGGGAAAGGUGCAACUGCACCGCAGAUGGAGGAGCCCGCGGCGCAUUAGCUAGUUGGUGGGGUAACGGCCUACCAAGGCGACGAUGCGUAGCCGACCUGAGAGGGUGGACGGCCACACUGGGACUGAGACACGGCCCAGACUCCUACGGGAGGCAGCAGUAGGGAAUCUUCCGCAAUGGGCGCAAGCCUGACGGAGCAACGCCGCGUGAGCGAAGAAGGCCUUCGGGUUGUAAAGCUCAGUCACUCGGGAAGAGCGGACGAGGGAGUGGAAAGCCCUCGCCGAGACGGUACCGAGAGAGGAAGCCCCGGCUAACUACGUG